UACGAAGGGGGCUAGCGUUGCUCGGAAUCACUGGGCGUAAAGCGCACGUAGGCGGACUCUUAAGUCGGUGGUGAAAUCCCUGGAGCUCAACUCCAGAACUGCCUUCGAUACUGGGAGUCUCGAGUUCGGGAGAGGGUGAGUGGAACUGCGAGUGUAGAGGUGAAAUUCGUAGAUAUUCGCAAGACACCAGUGGCGAAGGCGGCUCACUGGCCCGAUACGUGACG
rnacentral:rRNA from 1 species